UUCAUUUGAAUCGGCGUGGGGUGGAUGGAAGCAGCCCGACGCAGCUCCCGCAUCCCGGCCCCCCUCCCCACCACGGCUCGUGGCGGCGCCCCUCCCUUGGCCAUGGCGGACAUCCCGGCGUGGCGACGUCGCCCUGCUCUGCUCGGGACAAGCCCCAUGGGCCGCCUCAUCAGCAGGCGGACACAGCGCGUCGCCGUUAGCUGGCCAGCCAUCCUGGUCAGGUGAUCCUUCUCCCGGGUGUGGCCGACAACCAGGCAUGGCGGCCCCCGGUAGUGGCGCAUCCCGCAUCCAGCAGGGACGGCAUCCCAGCAGCGCAUCACGGCCAUGGAAGUCCAGCACAGAUGCAGUUUCGAGCACCAUCCCUCCACCUCUGCCUCCCCACGUCCCUCCUCCUCAAGAAUCUGGCGGCUGCCAUCCAGCUCGAGGACAGCGGCGACCUCAUGGUCUCUUGCCCCACGGGCAUGACAAAUCACGGAGGAGACAAGGUUCAGAUUUGGCGUCACCAGCAAUCAAGAUGUCAACGAGUGGUGGCAGGUCCCUCUCGAUCUGAUCCUGAGCUCCAUCCAGGCAUCGUCAUGGCUAAUAUCCUCAUGGUGGCAACACUAGAAAGGAGCUUCCUGUACAUAACGAAGAGCUUCCAAUAUCCACUACCUAUACAUAGAAGCUCCCCAAGUCUGAGUGGAAGUAGACGACAUUAAGGUGCACGGUGAACAUGUUUCUCAUAAUCUAAUAUGGAUUUCAUUCGUUAUUUCUAUCCUUCUUGAGCUAAUUGUGUAAGCAAGCAACCAUUGGUUUUUGUUUGAACAAGAAUGGCUUAUUUCUCGUAAUAUAAUGUUUCACUGUUAGUUAUUCAUGCUUAAAACAACAGCUGGUAGCAUGGCCGACAUGCGGCAACAUACUUAAAAGAUGAUGUGUACAAAUAGCCUAUCUCUGCAUGCUCAGAGUUUUGAAGCAAGCAGUGCAUACCAGUUUUUACACAUACUAAUAUAAGGAUGUUUUAUGUGCAUUGUCAGAUGAUUCAGUGCCAAAAAAUACAUAGUUCAGCACAUAUUGAGAACCUUUAUAGACUGGCUAUCUAUUUGCAUUUUUUAUGUGAUAAUCACCAGAUGACCAGACUGAAAUUAACAACAAAAAAGAACAGGCAAAAAAGGUAUUAUUUGUGCUUUCAAUUCUAGACCUUCUGAAACACCAGGCAUUAUAAAUCUCAGACACCAAGGUCAAAUUCAGUUUUAUACUGGAAGGCGAAACCAUACUGAAAGUUGAAACCAGACUUCUAUGCAUCCUAAAACAUGUUUACAUGCUAUUAAAAUAUGUAUCUUGUCUUUCUUACAAUUUUUUUGUGCAUGAUAAAACAUGAUUCUAUGCAGCUUUUGGUCGACAGCUCCUCCUCCGGUGAAGCUUCACAGCAGGAGGCUCCGCGUGCGCAGCCUGUGUCACAGCAGGAUGCUCGGCGCACGCGUCCCGCUUCAUAGGAGGAGGUUCGGCGUGGGGCGGACGGAAGCAGACCGACGCAACUCCCCGACAUCUCACUGCCCCCUCCACUAUCUAUACAUACGAAGCUCUCUAAGGCCAAGGAGACCAUCGCCGUGGUCCUCAAGGAUGUCCUCCUCGACGACGACAACGCUAGCAAGGCAUUGCAUCUAGGAUGGUUGGAAGGAUUGCUCUAUUUUGGUGUGAGGUCAAUGGUGGCUCGAACAUCAUAGGACAUGACUUGCGACGUUCACAACUUUCUUGGCUUGUGACGGUGGCGUAGUGUGAUAUUUGAUAUAGUUGAUGGGUUAAUGUAAAAAGUUAGUUUUUCAUAUGUUGUGUUUAUAUACUUGGAUGAUAUGAGCGAAACUAUUGAUUUUCUAUGUAACAUCUGUUGGGUUUCAAUAUUUGGUUAACUGAGUGUCUAUGCAUGUUGUGAGUUGGGAACAUUAUGGAUAGUCCACACUAGUAUGUAGUGUUUUGUAUGUUUCAUUCCCUUAAAAGGAAGUAUGGUGUAAAGUUUCUAUA